CGGCGUGCUUAACACAUGCAAGUCGAGCGGAGUAAUUCUCCCGAAGAUUGAGGAAGCUUGCUUACUGAAAGAUUCAUUUGAAUUACUUAGUGGCGGACGGGUGAGUAACGCGUGGGAAACCUGCCCUAGUACUGGGGGAUAGCAGUUGGAAACGACUGAUAAUACCGCAUAAGCGCACAGCUUCGCAUGAAGCAGUGUGAAAAACUCCGGUGGUAUAGGAUGGUCCCGCGUCUGAUUAGCUAGUUGGUGAGGUAACGGCCCACCCAAGGCAACGAUCAGUAGCCGGCCUGAGAGGGUGUACGGCCACAUUGGGACUGAGACACGGCCCAAACUCCUACGGGAGGCAGCAGUGGGGAAUAUUGGACAAUGGGGGAAACCCUGAUCCAAGCGACGCCGCGUGAACGAAGAAGUAUUUCGGUAUGUAAAGUUCUAUCAGCAGGGAAGAUAAUGACGGUACCUGACUAAGAAGCACCGGCUAAAUACGUGCCAGCCGCAGC
rnacentral:rRNA from 1 species